CACGUAGGGAAUGUGUUCCAAUUGGAAGAACCCAGAACCAAGGAAUGCCUCUGUGGAGGAGCCCUUGGAGAUCCUUGAGCUCAGCGCUCAUUUUCUAGAACAGGAAACCAGAGAAAUUAGAAGUAGGCUUUGCAGUGCCAUGAAGAUCUUUGUGAAGGAAGAAGUGUUCACCCAUUGAAGAUAUGGGGAAUUCAUUCUGGCUUAUACAUGGUUUGGCUUGAAUUUGGAUGUGCUUCUCCAGUGCCAUGAGGAUCUUUGCGAUGGAAGAAAUGUUCACCCAGUGAGAUCGUCGAUUGAGUAUUUGCAUUGACGUUUGGAACUUCCAGGCUUGUGCUUGCUGAUAAGCCAACACCACCUCUAUUAGCUAAGAUUGCUUGAGUGUGUCCCACAUCAUGCUGAUGCUUGUAUCUGCCCAGAAGUCCGGACAGAGCAGUCCGUCUGUCCCUGCCCCCCCACCCCCGGCAGGUCUCCCAGCAGUUCCCUCAGCUGAGCACUCUAGCGUCUAGCCAGGAGCUGUCCAACAGCUGCUCUGUUGCUUCCCAAACCAGGUUGGACAGGGCCACAUGCUGAGUUUCUUAAGUAAGAACCUGUGAAUGAAAAAAUAUUGCCUGCCAUAUCAGAAUGUUGCAGCCACCAAAGCUUUACAUUACAUCCACCCAGAAGGAGAGCCCUGACGGAACUCAGGACGGAGGCACGAUGCCCCCGCCCAGCAGUCGGCCACUGCGGGUAUCCUUGUCAGUACACCCCGAGGAGAGUCUGGAUGAGAACAGAAUCCUGGCUGCAGAGAGCUGAGGUGCAUAGCAAAGGAAAGAUUUCGAAAAGCCCAGGCUCUGUAUCUUCCCAUACAUAGAAAAGUGCUAAAUUCCUUUGAGAUACCUGGUUUUCCUUAACUUACAGUAAUGUUUUGAUGUUCUGAUUACCUGGUCAAAAACUCCUGUAUAUCCUGGCUCCCCUCCUUGCCUCUUUGGAACAGUUUCUCAGUUAUCUGAGAAGUUAUGUCCCAGGCUUAAGUCCUCAGUUUUGUCCACCAAGUAAAACGUAACUCUUGGGCUUCCCUGGUGGCUGAGUGGUAUUUCUCCUGCCAGUGCAGGGGACACGGGUUCAGUCCCUGAUGCAGGAAGGUCCCAUGUGCUGUGAGGCAGCUAAGCUCUGUGCCACAACUACUGAGCCUGUGCUCUGGAGCCGGGGAACCUCAAGUCCUGAGCGCCUGUGAUACACCCACUGAAGCCCGCAUGUCCUAGAGCCCGUGCUCCACAACGAGAGAAGCCACUGUGAUGAGAAGCUGGCUCACCACAGCUAGAGAAAAGCCCAUGCAGCAAUGAAGAUCCAGCACACCAAAAAUAAAUAAAUAAAUCAACACUUAAAAACAUAUACACAUAAGGAAGCUGUGGUACAUAUACACCAUGGAAUAUUACUCAGCCGUUAAAAAGAAUUCAUUUGAACCAGUUCUAAUGAGAUGGAUGAAACUGGAGCCCAUUAUACAGAGUGAAGUAAGCCAGAAAGAUAAAGAACAUUACAGCAUACUAACACAUAUAUAUGGAAUUUAGAAAGAUGGUAACGACAACCCUUUAUGCAAAACAGAA